CCUGAAGCCACUUGUAAUGGGGGAGCCAUAAAAUGCGGAAGGACUGGCUGCAACCGUUGUUAAGUGGACCGUGGCAGCAGAGCUGUGUGUGGCAUGCGUUGUCAGGUAGCCUAGAAGCAUUUUCGUGUUAAACAACCGGUGAUCCGGCUACUCAUUUGGAGCAGCUCGCUUUACAGUUUGCAUUAUAUUCUGUUUUUGUAAAUAAAUCAUUGUCCAGUUAA